CAAACUGAAGAGUUGACAUAAUCCUAUUACUCUGUCUCCAUUUCUCUGCUGUUCUUUUGGCUGGAUCCUCCCCCAUGUGUUGGUUUCAUACUCCAGUUGCCACCAAAAGGACUGGAUAAUUCCAGCACAUGGAAUUACUCAACCACAUCCAAGGUCGACUCACUUCUGGCCACUGAUACAGUCGCGCCAGAAGGACCGGCACUGGGGACUGGACACACUCACAUUGCGCCCUUGAUUUGGGGGGACUGGAUUAACAAAGGCGUGAAUCUCAGCUCCCAACACUCCUGGGACAGGGCUGAUAAUGGUACCACUCCACUUCAUCUGCAAAACGAACUUGGCAAAGGCAGGUGUGACGAGAGGCCUGCGCCGGGUCUAGGGGUGGGGGCGAGACUCGGACACUGACAGCCGCAGCCUUUGGGGAACCCGGGCGCGGGAGUCGCCAUAAGCUUCACUCCCAGACUUCGCCCCGAGACGGAGGCCGCCGCCACACUCUCCCUCUGAGGAGAGGGCGGAG
rnacentral:lncRNA from 1 species